GGAGAGGUGCCAGAGUGGUCGAUUGGGGCCGCCUGCUAAGCGGUUGUAGGGGCUAUAAACCUCUACCGCGGGUUCGAAUCCCGCCCUCUCCG
rnacentral:tRNA from 1 species